GAAAUGCGAUAAGUAAUGUGAAUUGCAGAAUUCCGUGAAUCAUCGAAUCUUUGAACGCACAUUGCGCCCUCUGGCAUUCCGGGGGGGCAUGCCUGUCCGAGCGUCAUUACGCACCCUCAAGCCCGGCUUGUGUGAUGGGCCCCGGCGUCUCGUUCGCGAGACGGGCCCGAAAGGCAGCGGCGGCGUCGACCCGAUGAGCCCGAGCGUAUGGGGACUUCUGUCACACGUUCGCGGUGCGGACCGGCGCCUGCUUGACUUUUCUGAUUAUCCAGGUUGACCUCGGAUCAGGUAGGGAUACCCGCUGAACUUAAGC
rnacentral:misc_RNA from 1 species